rnacentral:rRNA from 1 species
AGGACGAACGCUGGCGGCGUGCUUAACACAUGCAAGUCGAGCGGAAAGGCCCUUCGGGGUACUCGAGCGGCGAACGGGUGAGUAACACGUGAGUAAUCUGCCCCUAGCUCUGGGAGUAGCUCCGGGAAACCGGGAUUAAUACCGGAUACGACCACCUUAGACAUCUUUUGUGGUUGGAAAGAAUUUCGGCUAGGGGAUGAGCUCGCGGCCUAUCAGCUUGUUGGUGGGGUAACGGCCUACCAAGGCGACGACGGGUA